UUUCAAAGUAGCAUUUUGUUGGGCUGUGAGAUGUUAAAGCCUCGGAAGAUCUCCACAUUGGCUUAAAAGAAUACAACAUAAAUAAAUUGAACAUCACAUCUUUGUGCUUUGUUGAAUUGAAGUCAUGUUUUGAUAUAUGAUAUGUUUGUAUGCCAAAAUGUUAAGAGUUGAAGGAUACGUCUGAGCCACAUAUCAGGUAAUAUGAAAAAUUAUUCAAGAUUCCAGAACAUACAUAUAUUAAGUACCAUAAUGUAAAUUUAUUCAUGUAUAAUUUAGCUUCCAUGAUAACAUGUUUAAUCAUUGAACUGUGAGUCAAUGCAUUGUUAUUAUAUUCUACUGCUGGAACUCUAUUAUUUAUUUUUCCAUCCAAUGGAAGCCCACUGCAAUUUAUUAUAACUCAUUCUGGAUUUUGGAUCCUUAUAACAUCAAUGAAUGAUUUCCCUUCAAGCUCGCGUGAAAAAUAUCCUUUGAUGUAAUCUUGUACACUAAUUUUAUCAAACAUUGCAGGUCUUUCAGGAGUAACAAGGCUCGGUGCUGGACCCAUAACCCCGUUCAAUCUAGGACUGUGGAAUGUGGCAAUGGAAAUCCUCUUCUGUUCGGAGUUAACCGUUGCUCGAUGUUCAAUGCUUCGGUAAACACCAUUAGUCAUUAUCUGCAAAACCAUUUACGAAACAUGCAAAAAAUCCUUAAAGAUAUUUUUUUAAUGUUAGAUGUAAAUAAGAGAUUUAUCACUAUGUUUGUUACCUCUAACAUGUCUCCAAUGUUGAUGAUAAAAGCUUCAGGGAGAGGCUUAAUUGGAAUCCACAUUCCAUCUUUUCUUAUUUGAAGGCCUUCAAUUUCAUUCACUUGGAGAAGGAUGGUGAGGGCACCAACAUCAGAAUGAGGUUUGAGUCCAAUGACCUGUUCUGGUUGGGGACAUGGAGGGUAGUAAUUCAUCCUCAUUGCUUGACUUCCCUCUUCAAAAUCCUCCAGCAACUCAUUUGGUUGGAUCUUUAGAGCUUUAGCCAUAAGCUCAAUGAUAGUGACACAUAGUUUUUUCAAUUCUAAAGAAUACCUCUCCAAAUUGUCUCUACAAGUAAAAAUUUGCUUUAGUUACAUAUAAAAUCAUUGCAAACACAUAGAUAUAGAGGGUAGGGAGGG
rnacentral:lncRNA from 1 species